rnacentral:rRNA from 1 species
GACGAACGCUGGCGGCGUGCUUAACACAUGCAAGUCGAACGGAAAGGCCCUGCUUUUGUGGGGUGCUCGAGUGGCGAACGGGUGAGUAACACGUGAGUAACCUGCCCUUGACUUUGGGAUAACUUCAGGAAACUGGGGCUAAUACCGGAUAGGAGCUCCUGCUGCAUGGUGGGGGUUGGAAAGUUUCGGCGGUUGGGGAUGGACUCGCGGCUUAUCAGCUUGUUGGUGGGGUAGUGGCUUACCAAGGCUUUGACGGGUAGCCGGCCUGAGAGGGUGACCGGCCACAUUGGGACUGAGAUACGGCGCAGACGCCUACGGGAGGCAGCAGUGGGGAAUAUUGCACAAUGGGCGGAAGCCUGAUACAGCAACGCCGCGUGCGGGAUGACGGCCUUCGGGUUGUAAACCGCUUUCGCCUGUGACGAAGCGUGAGUGACGGUAAUGGGUAAAGAAGCACCGGCUAACUACGUG